rnacentral:rRNA from 1 species
AUGAACGCUGGCGGCGUGCUUAACACAUGCAAGUCGAACGGGAAAUAUUUCAUUGAGACUUCGGUGGAUUUGAUCUAUUUCUAGUGGCGGACGGGUGAGUAACGCGUGGGUAACCUGCCUUAUACAGGGGGAUAACAGUCAGAAAUGGCUGCUAAUACCGCAUAAGCGCACAGAGCUGCAUGGCUCAGUGUGAAAAACUCCGGUGGUAUAAGAUGGACCCGCGUUGGAUUAGCUAGUUGGUGGGGUAACGGCCCACCAAGGCGACGAUCCAUAGCCGGCCUGAGAGGGUGAACGGCCACAUUGGGACUGAGACACGGCCCAGACUCCUACGGGAGGCAGCAGUGGGGAAUAUUGCACAAUGGGGGAAACCCUGAUGCAGCGACGCCGCGUGAAGGAAGAAGUAUCUCGGUAUGUAAACUUCUAUCAGCAGGGAAGAUAGUGACGGUACCUGACUAAGAAGCCCCGGCUAACUACGUGCCAGCAGCCGCGGUAAUACGUAGGGGGCAAGCGUUAUCCGGAUUUACUGGGUGUAAAGGGAGCGUAGACGGUGUGGCAAGUCUGAUGUGAAAGGCAUGGGCUCAACCUGUGGACUGCAUUGGAAACUGUCAUACUUGAGUGCCGGAGGGGUAAGCGGAAUUCCUAGUGUAGCGGUGAAAUGCGUAGAUAUUAGGAGGAACACCAGUGGCGAAGGCGGCUUACUGGACGGUAAC